AUGGAAGGGGCGGCCCGGAGCAGGAAUGUGCAUUCCAGGAGGGAAGAACAACAGCUGGCACCGGUGACAACAUCCUCGCAGGUGACACCGGUGACAACGUCCUCGGUCCAUCCUCAUCCGUCGUGUCCUUCCAGGCUGGAUCAGCCUCCAGCUGGAGCAAAUCCCAGUGGGAAAAGCGGGGAAAUCUCAGCUUGGGAAUUCUUCUGGAUGUCCCCACCUGGGCAGGGCCACCACGUCCUCCUCCAGGGCCACCACGUCCUCCUUCAGAAGUGCCACAUCCAGGGUCACAUCCUUGGGCACUGCCAGGUGCCACCAUGUCCCUUCCCCAGCGGUGCCACAUCCAGGGUCACAUCCUGGGACACUGCCAGGUGCCACCACGUCCUUCCCUGGCAGUGCCACAUCCAGGGUCACAUCUUUGGGAACAGCCGGGUGCCACCUUCUCCAGCAGUGCCACAUCCAAGGUCACAUCCCUGGCACUGCCAGGUGCCACCAUGUCCUUGCCCAGCGGUGACAUCCAGUGCUGGCCCUUGGGACACUGCCAGGUGCCACCAUGUCCCUUCUCCAGCAGCGCCACAUCCAGGGUCACAUCCUGGGACACUUCCAGGUGCCACCACGUCCUUCCCCAAGGAUCUAGGGGGUCUCCGGUGCCUCGGGGGCUCCCCACACUCCCGGCAGGGAUGAGCCGGCAGGAUCCGCUGAAAUUCCCUCCGGCACGCGGAGCGGGGGACAGGUGACCCCCAGCUGCGCUCCUGGUGGCACCAGGGCUCGGCCACGGCCGCUGUGGCUCCCGAAGCUCCUCCCGGGACGCUCCUCGGGAGCUCCGGGCUCCGCCGGCGCCGCGGUGGCCGCGGGGAAGCCGCGAUCCCCGGGACAGGAGUUGGCCGCGGGCUCGGGGGGCUCCUAGCCCUUGUCCUGCGCCAGGGGAGCGCCCUUGUCACCCAGGGGCUGCGGGGACAAACGGGGACACGGAUCAGAGGGGACACGGACCGCUGGGACGGGGAACGGGGAUUGGGGGAUGGGGAUUGGGGGACAGGGAUCAGAGGAGACAAGGAUUACAGGAUGCAGGAAUUGGGGAAGGCAGGAAUUGGGAGGGGAAUGCAGGGAUCAGGGAACGCAGGGAUCAGGGAAUGCAGGGAUCAGGGCAGGCAGGGAUCAGGGAAUGCAGGGAUCAGGGAAUGCAGAGAUCAGGGC
rnacentral:lncRNA from 1 species